CUUAACAAUUCAUGCAAAGUUUAAAAUAGAAUUAUUACCACCUGAAUUUAUUCAAGUUCAUGUUACCAAAAAUGGAAGGAUUACGUGCACCUCCCAUGUGCUCAAUCAGCUAAACGGUCGCAUUGAAGAAUCACUUCAAGAAAUUUAUUUAAUGUCAAGCGUAGUACUUCGAGAAACGGUCGAAAUAAUAAGAAUGCAAAUUGGGUGUU